ACACCGUGAGCCUGGAGCCCCUCACCAGGUGCCGUGGGCUGCUCAGUCUCACCCUGUCCGGCGGCGUCCCUGACGCCGUGCUGGACAGUCUCAGCGGCUGCCCCGGGCUGUGGUACCUUACACUGGGGGACCUCCAGCGGCCGGCAGAGACGGCCUUCACAGCAGCAGCGGUCACCAGACUGGUGAAGUCGUGUCGGCAGCUGGGUGUUCUGUACCUUCACUGCACGGCAGAGACCGGCCGGGCCGUGCUGACCGCCCUGAAGGAGGCGGACCUGGGCCGGGAUAGUGAUGGCCAGCCCCGUACCAUCAAUCUCCGUGUCCCCGAGGAGCUGUACCGUCAGCUGAAGAGCCAGGAAGGCCGUUGGGUCAGAGUGUUGAAGUGGUAGUAUUGAUGCGCUGCACUACCGACCGUGCAGUGAUGAGCUGACUGCAGAGAGGCCGAGCCAGUCGGCCGGGGCCGCCAGCUGACUGCUGCCGUGUGUGCUGCACCAGCCGGCACUGAGAGCGGCGCCGGUCAGCCGGCACACG